UGCCGGGCAGGCCGCGCGGGUCGGGGCGUUGUCGGUGCCCCAGCAUUGGGCGACGCUGACCUCGGCGGUCAGCCCGGCGAC
rnacentral:tRNA from 1 species